AAUAUCCCAAAAUACACCAAAAAUACCCAAAAAUACACUGAAAUACACCAAAAUAUCCCAAAAUACACCAAAAUACACCAAAAUAUCCCAAAGUACACCAAAAAUACACCAAAAUACCCCCAAAUACCCCCAAAUACACCAAAAUAUCCCCAAAAUAUCCCCAAAAAUAUCCCCAAAAUAUCCCAAAAUAUCCCCAAAAUAUCCCAAAAUAUCCCCAAAAUACCCCAAAAUAUCCCCAAAAUAUCCCAAAAUAUACCAAAAUACAGCAAAAUAUCCCAAAAUAUCCCCAAAAUACAGCAAAAUAUCCCAAAAUAUCCCAAAAUAACCCCAAAAUAUCCCAAAAUAUCCCAAAAUAUUAAAAAAAAUAAAAAAAAAAUCCCUCAAAUACCCCCAAAAUAUCCCAAAAUCCCCCCCAAAUCCCUCCCAGUCCCUCCCAGUUCAAACCGGUUCAAACCGGUUCAAACCAGUUCAAACCAGUUCAAACCGGUUCAAACCGGUUCAAACCAGUUCAAACCAGUUCAAACCAGUUCAAACCGGUUCCCUUCCAGUCCAUCCCAGUCCAUCCCAGUUCCCUCCCAGUUCAAACCGGUUCAAACCAGUUCAAACCGGUUCAAACCGGUUCAAACCACUCCCUCCCAGUUCCUCCCAGUCCAUCCCAGUUCAAACCAGUCCAAACCAGUUCAAACUGGUUCAAACUGGCUCAAACCGGUUCCUCCCAGUCCCUCCCAGUUCCCUCCCAGUUCAAACCAGUUCAAACCGGUUCAAACCAGUUCAAACCAGUUCAAACCGGUUCAAACCAGUUUAAACUGGUUCAAACCGGUUCCCUUCCAGUCCAUCCCAGUCCCUCCCAGUUCAAACCGGUUCAAACCAGUUCAAUCCAGUUCAAACCGGUUCAAACCAGUUCAAUCCAGUUCAAACCGGUUCCUCCCAGUCCCUCCCAGUCCAUCCCAGUCCAUCCCAGUUCAAACCAGUCCAAACCAGUUCAAACCAGUUCAAACCGGUUCCCUUCCAGUCCAUCCCAGUCCAUCCCAGUUCCCUCCCAGUUCAAACCGGUUCAAACCAGUUUAAACCAGUUCAAACCGGUCCAAACCAGUUCAAACCAGUUCAAACCAGUUCAAACCAGUUCAAACCAGUUCAAUCCAGUUCAAACCGGUUCAAACCGGUUCCUCCCAGUCCCUCCCAGUUCAAACCAGUCCAAACCAGUCCAAACCGGUCCCAUCGGAAGCGGUUCUGUGUUUAUUGGGGGAGGGGCGGGGAGGAUUUGGGGGAAUUUUUGGGGAUUUGGGGAUCCCGGAACUUCCCAAAUUUCAUCUCAGGCGGGUGGAGAGACCUGGGGGAAAAACCGGGAAUUUGGGAAAAACCGGGAAUGAGGGGAAAAACCGGGAAUGAGGGGAAAAACCGG
rnacentral:lncRNA from 1 species